rnacentral:rRNA from 1 species
CAAUAGCGUAUAUUAAAGUUGUUGCAGUUAAAAAGCUCGUAGUUGGAUUUCGGGUGGGAAUGGCCGGUCCGCCGUUUCGGUGUGCACUUGCUACGCCCACCUUGCUGCCGGGGACGUGCUCUUGAGUUCACGCUCGGGACACGGAGUCGGCGAGGUUACUUUGAGUAAAUUAGAGUGUUCAAAGCAGGCCUACGCUCUGAAUACAUUAGCAUGGAAUAACACGAUAGGACUCUGGCCUAUCUUGUUGGUCUGUAGGACCGGAGUAAUGAUUAAGAGGGACAGUCGGGGGCAUUCGUAUUUCAUUGUCAGAGGUGAAAUUCUUGGAUUUAUGAAAGGCGAACUACUGCGAAAGCAUUUGCCAAGGAUGUUUUCAUUAA